rnacentral:lncRNA from 1 species
GGUUGUCUUCUUGGAACAGUAUAUAUGUCAGUUGAUUGAUUUUUUUUGUAGCUUAACGCAAGUGGAACUAUUCAUUCAUGAACACAACGAUUAUAUUUUACGACGUCCCAUUUAUCAAUUAUAAUCGGUAAAGACAAAUCUCUCUACAAAUCUGACGAAAUUAACGAGAUUGUUGAUAGUUAUACACCAUCUUAUAUAUCCUUAUCCUUAUACUGUACAACUUUCG